AACGAACGCUGGCGGCAGGCCUAACACAUGCAAGUCGAACGCACCGCAAGGUGAGUGGCGCACGGGUGAGUAACACGUGGGAAUGUACCCUUUGGUUCGGAAUAACGUUUGGAAACGAACGCUAAUACCGGAUGAGCCCUGCGGGGGAAAGAUUUAUCGCCAAAGGAGCAGCCCGCGUCUGAUUAGCUAGUUGGUGGGGUAAAGGCCUACCAAGGCGACGAUCAGUAGCUGGUCUGAGAGGAUGAUCAGCCACACUGGGACUGAGACACGGCCCAGACUCCUACGGGAGGCAGCAGUGGGGAAUAUUGGACAAUGGGCGGCAAGCCUGAUCCAGCCAUGCCGCGUGAGUGAUGAAGGCCUUCGGUUGUAAAGCUCUUUCGUCACGCGACGAUGAUGACGGUAGCGUGAGAAG
rnacentral:rRNA from 1 species